rnacentral:rRNA from 1 species
AACGAACGCUGGCGGCAUGCCUAACACAUGCAAGUCGAACGAGACCUUCGGGUCUGGUGGCGCACGGGUGCGUAACGCGUGGGAAGCUGGACUUAGGCUCGGAAUAACUCUCCGACAGGGGUGCUAAUGUCGGAAAACGUACUCGGACCCAAGAUUUAUCGUCUUUGGAGGGGCCGGCGUUGGAUUAGCUGGUUGGUAGGGGAAAAGCCUAUCAAGGAGACGCUCCAUAGCUGGGCUGAGAGGCAGAUCAGCCACACUGAGAAUGAGACACGGCCCAGACUCCUACAGAAGGCAGCAGAGGGGAAUAUUGGACUAUCGGCGAAGGCCUGAUGCCGCAAUGCCUCGUGAGUCAUGAUGUCCGUAGAGUAGUAAAGCUCUUUUACCCGGGAUGAUAAUGACGGUACCGAGAGAAUAAGCACCGGCUAACUCCGUG